UCAGCCGCCGCGGUAAUACCAGCUCCUCGAGUGGUCGGGGCGAUUAUUGGGCCUAAAGCAUCCGUAGCCGGUUCCGUAGGUCCUCUGUUAAAUCCAACCGCUUAACGGUUGACCUGCAGAGGAUACCGCGGGACUAGGAGGCGGGAGAGGCGGACGGUACUCCGCGUGUAGGGGUAAAAUCCUUUGAUCCGCGGAAGACCACCAGUGGCGAAGGCGGUCCGCCAGAACGCGCUCGACGGUGAGGGAUGAAAGCUGGGGGAGCGAACCGGAUUAGAUACCCGGGUAGUCCCAGCCGUAAACGAUGCUAGCUAGAUGAUUCAUUCGCAAGUCGCGAAUGAAGUGUCGCAGGGAAGCCGUUAAGCUAGCCGCCUGGGGAGUACGGUCGC
rnacentral:rRNA from 1 species